rnacentral:rRNA from 1 species
AACGAACGCUGGCGGCAUGCCUAACACAUGCAAGUCGAACGAAGUCUUCGGACUUAGUGGCGCACGGGUGCGUAACGCGUGGGAAUCUGCCCUUGGGUACGGAAUAACUCAGAGAAAUUUGUGCUAAUACCGUAUAAUGUCUUCGGACCAAAGAUUUAUCGCCCAAGGAUGAGCCCGCGUAAGAUUAGCUAGUUGGUGGGGUAAAAGCCUACCAAGGCGACGAUCUUUAGCUGGUCUGAGAGGAUGAUCAGCCACACUGGGACUGAGACACGGCCCAGACUCCUACGGGAGGCAGCAGUGGGGAAUAUUGGACAAUGGGCGAAAGCCUGAUCCAGCAAUGCCGCGUGAGUGAUGAAGGCCUUAGGGUUGUAAAGCUCUUUUACCAGGGAUGAUAAUGACAGUACCUGGAGAAUAAGCUCCGGCUAACUCCGUGCCAGCCGCCGCCGUAACAC